AUACUUACCUGGGAGAUAAGGGGAGAUACCGUGAUCAGGAAGGUGGUUUUCCCAGGGCGAGGCUUAUCCAUUGCGCCCUGGAUGUGCUGACCCCCGCAAUUUCCCCAAACGUGGGAAACUCAGCCCCUGAAUUUGUCCUAGUUGGGGACUGCUUUCACGUUCUCUUCUU
rnacentral:snRNA from 1 species